rnacentral:other from 1 species
AAGCACCUGGAAUAUGACGACUUGCUAUUUUGACCCUACAUCACUUUAAACGGGAAUCCUAUAUCUUUAAAUCUAUGUCAGGCCAUGUAAGCUUUAUCCGUUGGAAGGCAGAAAUUUAUUUGCGGACACCCACCUAGCUAUUCGCUAGGAGUCAAAAUGCGAGAUCAUGUUUCGGGUUGUUU